GACCAGACUCCUACGGGAGGCAGCAGUGGGGAAUAUUGCACAAUGGGCGAAAGCCUGAUGCAGCGACGCCGCGUGAGUGAAGAAGUAUUUCGGUAUGUAAAGCUCUAUCAGCAGGGAAGAAAAUGACGGUACCUGACUAAGAAGCCCCGGCUAACUACGUGCCAGCAGCCGCGGUAAUACGUAGGGAGCAAGCGUUGUCCGGAAUUACUGGGCGUAAAGGGCGCGUAGGUGGGCGCUUAAGUCAGGUGUGAAAACUCCGGGCUCAACCUGGAGACUGCACUUGAAACUGGGUGUCUUGAGGGCAGGAGAGGAAAGUGGAAUUCCUAGUGUAGCGGUGAAAUGCGUAGAUAUUAGGAGGAACACCAGUGGCGAAGGCGACUUUCUGGACUGUACCUGACGCUGAGGCGCGAAAGCGUGGGUAGCGAACGGGAUUAGAUACCCCCGUACUA
rnacentral:rRNA from 1 species